AUUGAACGCUGGCGGCAUGCUUUACACAUGCAAGUCGAACGGCAGCGCGGGCUUCGGCCUGGCGGCGAGUGGCGAACGGGUGAGUAAUGCAUCGGAACGUGCCCAGUAGUGGGGGAUAGCCCGGCGAAAGCCGGAUUAAUACCGCAUACGACCUGAGGGUGAAAGCGGGGGACCGAAAGGCCUCGCGCUAUUGUAGCGGCCGAUGUCGGAUUAGCUAGUUGGUGGGGUAAAGGCUUACCAAGGCGACGAUCCGUAGCUGGUCUGAGAGGACGACCAGCCACACUGGGACUGAGACACGGCCCAGACGCCUACGGGAGGCAGCAGUGGGGAAUUUUGGACAAAGGGGGCAACCCUGAUCCAGCCAUGCCGCGUGCGGGAAGAAGGCCUUCGGGUUGUAAACCGCUUUUGUUCGGGAAGAAAUCCUCUGGGCUAAUACCCCGGGGGGAUGACGGUACCGGAAGAAUAAGCACCGGCUAACUACGUG
rnacentral:rRNA from 1 species